GUCGGACAAGGAAGGAGGGGAGACCAAGUGGGUGAGUCACUUCCCAUUAAUGGUAAAUUUUUAUCCAAAUGAAGCUAUCAUUUAAUUUCUUAUUCCCUCUAACCAAUUAAAUUAGCCAAACAUUAGCCAGUUUAUUUCUUUCAUCUUCAUUUCCUAAGACUAGUAAGAAAAGAGAAAAAAGAAAAGCAAGAGGGAGCUUGAAUUCGGCGAGAAGAAAACUUUGAUUUUGAUCAUCUAGCCAAGAUCAAGAAGAAGAUGAUUAAGAAAGGUAAGACCCCUAACUACUUCUUCCUAUUCAUUUUUUCUUUUAAAAACUUUCUAGUAUGUUAGGAAGUGUUUUGUUAAUUGAUGUGUUUUAAUGAAAUAUCAUGGUGAUAGAAAUAUCAAAGCCAAUCAAUGCCGGGAACAAAGCCAACUGACUCAGAAGAAACAAUUUUAGUUCCUUAAUUAGUGCAACAUAUAUGUUCAAAUAUUCUAUUCAUAUUUGUCUGUAAUCUUUUCUAGUUUAGAUGAUUCUGAGCAUCAUUGGUG
rnacentral:lncRNA from 1 species